CAGUUCGAAUUUUGAGCACAAGAAAACAGUUCCAGUGCUCCCAUAUUGAAGGCAGUCUAGCAUAAUGACCAGUCUUGAAAAUCUGAUUGUUUUUUGGUUUUUAGUGUUGAAAGCUUAGGUUAAAUUAUGUCCCACUGACAUCAGAAGUGGAACUAGAAUGAUUGAAGAGGAGUCUGAAUUUCACUGUUGAAGUUUGAUUAUGUAGCCUUUGUCAAGCAGACUCAUGAAGAAGUUGAGCCAGAUUUUGUAGAUGUGGCAGAAACAAUGUCCGCGGUGGUUUUCAAGGAGGUUUAUGAGUCUAGAGGCAAAGAAAACUUGCACUCUGAAUUUGACAAAGCUGCUCUGAGCUGGCACUUGUAAUACCCCAGGAGACAGGAUUUUAUAUGAUUUGACUGGAACCAAUAGGUCUAGAGAUGCCCCAGUCUAUUUGCCGUUCCUCAGUCACCUCGGAAGCUCGCCACUUUACUACUGGAACUUCACUCAGGGUGCAGACUUUGUCCCCAAAAGGAGCUACGUCCGUGCGUUUGCCUGAGUUACGUCAGCAGUGGAGAGGAAGAAUUCCAAACAUGUCACCCUGGUUUCACAGAUCUGCAGAGAUCCCCAAAGUGAUCCGAUCCCUCUGCGUUAUGUAGUAAAUACCACUCUGCAUUUGUUAUGUACAAAUGCCUGCCUGUUUGCACUCCCUCUGUCUACAUAUGUAAUCCGUAGAUCUUUACGUCUAGAUUUGUGCAUACACUUGUUGGACUUAAGUCACAAAACACUAAGAAUAACUGUGUGGGCGGGGGGGUAAUGAGUGUUUAUGUAUGCAUACAAGAU
rnacentral:lncRNA from 1 species